rnacentral:rRNA from 1 species
CCUACGGGUGGCAGCAGUGAGGAAUAUUGGUCAAUGGACGGAAGUCUGAACCAGCCAAGCCGCGUGCAGGAUGACUGCCCUAUGAGUUGUAAACUGCUUUUGUAUAAGGGUAAAGUUGAAUAUGUGUACUGAUUUGCAUGUACCGUAUGAAUAAGGAUCGGCUAACUCCGUGCCAGCAGCCGCGGUAAUACGGAGGAUCCAAGCGUUAUCCGGAUUUAUUGGGUUUAAAGGGUGCGUAGGCUGAUUGAUAAGUUAGGGGUGAAAUGUUCCGGCUUAACCCGAAAAUUGCCGUUGAUACUGUUGAUCUAGAGAGUAGGUGAGGUAGGCGGAAUGUGUGGUGUAGCGGUGAAAUGCUUAGAGAUCAUACAGAACGCCGAUUGCGAAGGCAGCUUACCGGACUGUAACUGACGUUGAGGCUCGAAAGCGUGGGGAGCAAACAGGAUUAGAUACCCUAGUAGUC